rnacentral:rRNA from 1 species
UACGUAGGGUGCAAGCGUUGUCCGGAUUUAUUGGGCGUAAAGAGCUCGUAGGCGGUUUAGCAAGUUGGGCGUGAAAACUCCAGGCUCAACCUGGAGAUGCCACCCAAGACUGCUAUGACUUGAGUCUGGUAGGGGAGCACGGAAUUCCUGGUGUAGCGGUGAAAUGCGCAGAUAUCAGGAGGAACACCGGUGGCGAAGGCGGUGCUCUGGGCCAGUACUGACGCUGAGGAGCGAAAGCGUGGGGAGCGAACAGG